UACGUAGGGGGCAAGCGUUGUCCGGAUUUAUUGGGCGUAAAGAGCGUGUAGGCGGUCAGGUAGGUCCGUUGUGAAAACUCGAGGCUCAACCUCGAGACGCCGAUGGAAACCAUCUGACUAGAGUCCGGAAGAGGCGAGUGGAAUUCCUGGUGUAGCGGUGAAAUGCGCAGAUAUCAGGAGGAACACCAAUUGCGAAGGCAGCUCGCUGGGACGUUACUGACGCUGAGACGCGAAAGCGUGGGAGCAAACAGG
rnacentral:rRNA from 1 species